GAUGAACGCUGGCGGCGUGCCUAAUACAUGCAAGUCGAGCGAACGGACGAGAAGCUUGCUUCUCUGAUGUUAGCGGCGGACGGGUGAGUAACACGUGGAUAACCUACCUAUAAGACUGGGAUAACUUCGGGAAACCGGAGCUAAUACCGGAUGAUAUUUUGAACCUCAUGGUUCAAAAGUGAAAGACGGUCUUUCUUUCACUUAUAGAUGGAUACGCGCUGCAUUAGCUAGUUGGUAAGGUAACGGCUUACCAAGGCAACGAUGCAUAGACGACCUGAGAGCGUGAUCGCCCACACUGGAACUGAGACACGGUCCCGACUCCUACGGGAGGAAGCAGUAGGGAAUCUUCCGCAAUGGGGGAAAGCCUGACGGAGCAACGCCGCGUGAGUGAUGAAGGUCUUCGGAUCGUAAAACUCUGUUAUUAGGGAAGAACAUAUGUGUAAGUAACUGUGAACAUCUUGACGGUACCUAAUGAGAAAGCCACGGCUAACUACGUG
rnacentral:rRNA from 1 species